rnacentral:lncRNA from 1 species
CGCCACUGUCUCUAAUAUUGGGAUAGUUUUUAUGCAAGUCUUGAUUUUCACAUACCGUAAUUAGUUUAACAAUGCAACAUGUCUCGUAAGCAUAUAAUUGAUAUUCGUAUAUGUGUGUGUGUGUGAAGUGAAGGUGCCAACUGGCUGGGUUUUUUUUUAAGACAAAUGAAUAGGUCAAGACUACCUGAAUUGUACAAAUAAAUACCGUAGAAAGGCUUCUAUAUUUCUCACUGGUACAUAGGCUGAAUCCGGGUCCGUUCGCGCCCAUUCACGUUUGCACCAACUCAUGUUCGCCCCUUUCACUUUCACACCCUACAUGUUCGCAAAUCUUAAUUGGUUUUUGUGUUUAAUAACUCUGUAAGCAAGUGUUUUCUUAUAAGUAUAAUUGUUGUCAUUGUCUCAAAAUAAAGUGAGACAGCAUUUUUUUUUUUUUUGUGUUGAAUAAAUCUUAAUCAUGUUUUGGAUAGCGUAUUGUUAAAGAUAAUAAUAAUCGUUUCUAAAUAAAGUGGUAUUUUGUCAACGUUUUAUUUAGCGUUGAAUAACUCUUAAUCAUGUUUUGGUUAGUGUAUUGCUAUACUUUGUUUCAUUGACCUCUUUCAUAAUGAAGUGAGAUUCUGACUAUUUUUUUUCUGUG